rnacentral:rRNA from 1 species
GGGGGGGGGGGGGGGGGGGGGGGGGAGGGGGGGGGGGAGGGGGCGGGCGAGGAGCUGGCGGGUCUGAUGGGGGCGGCGGACGGGUGGGUAAGGCGUGGGUAACCUAGCUAUAAGACUGGGGUAACUGCGGGAAACCGGAGCUAAUACCGGAUGAUAUUUUGAACCGCAUGGUGCAAAAGUGAAAGACGGUCUUGCUGUCACUUAUAGAUGGAUCCGCGCUGCAUUAGCUAGUUGGUAAGGUAACGGCUUACCAAGGCAACGAUGCAUAGCCGACCUGAGAGGGUGAGCGGCCACACUGGAACUGAGACACGGUCCAGACUCCUACGGGAGGCAGCAGUAGGGAAUCUGCCGCAAUGGGCGAAAGCCUGACGGAGCAACGCCGCGUGAGUGAUGAAGGUCUUCGGAUCGUAAAACUCUGUUAUUAGGGAAGAACAUAUGUGUAAGUAACUGUGCACAUCUUGACGGUACCUAAUCAGAAAGCCACGGCUAACUACGUG